GCUCGUGCUGAAGGCCUGUUUCCUAGGCUACGAACUGGGGACUAGUUCCUUACUUGCGCCUAGGGGAAAGUCCCCGGACUUCUGGCAGAGAGUGCCGCGUGCGCAUGUACGUUAGACCUUCCCUGCUUCUCACGGUUAAGUCCGCCAAGAAGCGAUCCCGCAGCUGGUGGGGGAGCCGAGCGGCGUGUUGCUGGGGGUGUCAUCCGUCUACUUCUAUAGUUACGCAGGCAGUGCACCAUCGUGCGCACCAACCACACGGGGCUCAUUCUCAGUACGGC
ensembl:ribozyme RNase_MRP RNase MRP